rnacentral:sRNA from 1 species
GCCAGGCAUGGUGGCGCAUGCCUGUAAUCCCAGGUACUUGGGGGGCUGGGGAAGGAGGAUUGCAAGUUUGAGGCCAGCCUGGGAGAUUUGGUGAGGCCCUGUCUCAA